UACGGGGGGGGCAAGCGUUGUUCGGAAUUACUGGGCGUAAAGGGCUCGUAGGCGGCCAACUAAGUCAGACGUGAAAUCCCUCGGCUUAACCGGGGAACUGCGUCUGAUACUGGAUGGCUAGAGGUUGGGAGAGGGAUGCGGAAUUCCAGGUGUAGCGGUGAAAUGCGUAGAUAUCAGGAGGAACACCGGUGGCGAAGGCGGAUCUCUGGGCCUUACCUGACGCUGAGGCGCGAAAGCUAGGGGAGCGAACAGG
rnacentral:rRNA from 1 species